UGCUGCGUUAUUUUGGCACAACCUUUAUAUCUUUUCAUCUUAUUGUUUCUGGAAUUCCUUUUCUCUUUGUAUCAAGUGAUGUUGCUGUGUGUGCUUUUUCUAACAAAUCUUGGUGGAAGAUCAGAAAAACAAACAAAAAAAAAGGCUAAUGUAUCCUAAGGAUUGAUAAUUUCAGGGUCAAAACAGAUUUUAAGUGCUGAUCUUCUUGCACCCGCUGAUGAAUCUUUCCGACCAAGAAGCUGGUGUAUCGUAUCUAGCUGGCAGCACACAGAACACAUUAGGAAAACAAAGAGAAUGUGAGAUUAAGCCGAAAACAGGCAAGAGAGGCAUUUUCUCACUGUUCUGCAUGAAGGCAGAAGAUGCUUCAAGAGGAUACAACCUCGGUUUUCUUGUUGGAACUAUGGCCUCUUCCCCCCAUCAGAUUAUUCAAAGGCAACAUCACUGAAGUCAAGUGAGAACAGGACACUGCUGAAGUAAUUACGAAGAAUUUGCCUACUCCAUCUUGACCGUCUGAGGGCAGUGUCACCUAAUAAUUGCUAAAGGAGAUAUGCCUGGUCAC
rnacentral:lncRNA from 1 species